rnacentral:rRNA from 1 species
GUGCCAGCCGCCGCGGUAAUACCGGCAGCUCGAGUGAUGGCCGAUUUUAUUGGGCCUAAAGCGUCCGUAGCCGGCCGAGCAAGUCCAUCGGGAAAUCCGCCAGCCCAACUGGCGGGCGUCCGGUGGAAACUGCACGGCUCGGGACCGGAAGACCCGAAGGGUACGUCUUGGGUAGGAGUGAAAUCCCGUAAUCCUGGACGGACCACCGAUGGCGAAAGCACUUCGGGAAGACGGCUUCGACAGUGAGGGACGAAAGCUCGGGUCUCGAACCGGAUUAGAAACCCCAGUAGUCC